GAUGAACGCUGGCGGCGUGCCUAAUACAUGCAAGUCGAGCGAACAGACGAGGAGCUUGCUCCUCUGUCGUUAGCCGCGGACGGGUGAGUAACACGUGUAUAACCUACCUAUAACACUGGGAUAACUUCGGGAAACCGUAGCUAAUACCGUAUAAUAUAUUUAACCGCAUGGUUCAAUAGUGAAAGACUCUUUUUCUGUUACUUAUAGAUGGAUCCGCGCCGCAUUAGCUAGUUGGUAAUGUAACGGCUUACCAAGGGGACGAUGCGUAGCCGACCUGAGAGGGUGAUAGGCCACCCUGGAACGGAGACACGGUCAAGAGUACUACGGGACGCAGCAGUAGGGAACGUUCGGCAAUGGGCGAGAGCCUGACAGAGCAACCGCGCGUGAGUGAUGACGAUGUUGCGAUAGUAAUAAUGUGUUAUUAGGUAAGAACAAAUGUGUAAGUAAAUAUGCACGACUUGACGGUACCUAAUCAGAAAGCCACGGCUAACUACGUG
rnacentral:rRNA from 1 species